UAGGGAAUAUUGGACAAUGGGGGCAACCCUGAUCCAGCCAUGCCGCGUGAGUGAAGAAGGCCCUCGGGUUGUAAAGCUCUUUUGUCCGGAAAGAAAAGCAUUCGGUGAAUACCCGGAUGUUCUGACGGUACCGGAAGAAUAAGCACCGGCUAACUUCGUGCCAGCAGCCGCGGUAAUACGAAGGGUGCAAGCGUUACUCGGAAUUACUGGGCGUAAAGCGUGCGUAGGUGGUUGUUUAAGUCUGAUGUGAAAGCCCUGGGCUCAACCUGGGAAUGGCAUUGGAAACUGGGCAGCUAGAGUGCGGUAGAGGGUAGUGGAAUUCCCGGUGUAGCAGUGAAAUGCGUAGAGAUCGGGAGGAACAUCUGUGGCGAAGGCGACUGCCUGGACCAGCACUGACACUGGGGCACGAAAGCGUGGGGAGCAAAC
rnacentral:rRNA from 1 species